rnacentral:rRNA from 1 species
AUUGAACGCUGGCGGCAUGCCUUACACAUGCAAGUCGAACGGCAGCGGACCUUCGGGUGCCGGCGAGUGGCGAACGGGUGAGUAAUAUAUCGGAACGCACCUUUCAGUGGGGGAUAACGUAGCGAAAGUUACGCUAAUACCGCAUAUUCUGUGAGCAGGAAAGCAGGGGAUCGCAAGACCUUGCGCUGAUUGAGCGGCCGAUAUCAGAUUAGCUAGUUGGUGAGGUAAAGGCUCACCAAGGCGACGAUCUGUAGCGGGUCUGAGAGGAUGAUCCGCCACACUGGAACUGAGACACGGUCCAGACUCCUACGGGAGGCAGCAGUGGGGAAUUUUGGACAAUGGGCGCAAGCCUGAUCCAGCCAUGCCGCGUGAGUGAAGAAGGCCUCGGUUGUAAGUACGU